rnacentral:rRNA from 1 species
UACGUAGGGGGCUAGCGUUGUCCGGAUUUAUUGGGCGUAAAGAGCGUGUAGGCGGCCAGGUAGGUCUGCUGUGAAAACUCGAGGCUCAACCUCGAGACGUCGGCGGAAACCAUCUGGCUAGAGUCCGGAAGAGGAGAGUGGAAUUCCUGGUGUAGCGGUGAAAUGCGCAGAUAUCAGGAAGAACACCUAUGGCGAAGGCAGCACUCUGGGACGGUACUGACGCUGAGACGCGAAAGCGUGGGGAGCAAACAGG